rnacentral:rRNA from 1 species
GUCUUUUUGAAAUAAUUUAAAGUCUAAUCUGCCCACUGAUAAAAAUUAAAGGGCUGCAGUAUAAUGACUGUACAAAGGUAGCAUAAUCAAUAGUUUUUUAAUUGAAAACUUGUAUGAAAGAUUUGAUGAAAUAUAAACUGUCUCUAUUUUAUAAAUUGAAUUUUAUUUUUUAGUAAAAAAGCUAAAAUAAAUUUAAAAGACGAGAAGACCCUAUAGAGUUUUAUAUUUAAUUUUAUUUGAAAAUUAUAUAAAAAUUAUUAUUUAAAUAAAAUUAAUUAUUAUGUUGGGGUGACAGAAAAAUUAAAUUAACUUUUUUUAAAAAUUAAACAUAAAUAAGUGAUUAUAUGAUCCAUAAAUAAUGAUUAUAAGAAAAAAUUACCUUAGGGAUAACAGCGUAAUAUUUUUUUUUAGUUCAAAUAAAAAAGAAAGUUUGCGACCUCGAUGUUGGAUUAAGAUAAAAUUUAAAUGCAAAAGUUUAAAAUUUUUGAUCUGUUCGAUCAUUAAAAUCUUACA